CCUUUUUUUUUUUUUUUCCAAGGUACCUAAAAUAAUGGCUUUUUAAGACAGUAAUAAAGCCAUGUAACUUGUGGGGAAAAGCACACUGUGGCUCACAAUCUGAAUUAAACGUGUGUCAUUGGGGCCUUUGAUCCUGGCUCUCCAGUCGUGGGAACCAGGAGAAGUCAUCUCCUGUGAACUGUGAGUAGGAAGCUGCGAGGGAAUCAGCAGAUGAGUUUGAAGGAGCAUGAUGGAUGGAAUCAGGCCAUUCUGAGCACCAUAAAAAACUUGUUUUAGCGUUGCUGCGGGGGAAAUCUUCUACCUUCAAGAAACCUGAUAUUUUGGACCAGAUCCCUGUCUGAACAGGUUGUGUGCUGCCCUUUUCAAAAUCAAGCUAUCAGAGGAUGCCCUUCAGCAGAAGUGUUAAGAGGACUUGAGAUCAGAGCAUGGCCAUGGAAUAACAACAGCUACAAAUAUAUCUCCAUAUGCUGAGGCAGUUACCUACGAGAUCGUGUUCCCUGGAUAGUGGUGUUUGUAAAUAUAGAUGUAUACACAACACAGGUAGGGAUGAA